AAAACCAAAAAAAAUCUAAAACCAACAGUAUAUAAACCGAACCGAAUUAAAUAUGGAUUUAGAAUGGUAGUUGUAUUUUACUAACCGAAAUACCGAAAAACAAAAAAAAAACAAACUGAUAUCCGGAUUGAACACCCUAUAAACUCAGAUUAUUUUUUGAAGUGAUAGAUAGAUUCUCAUAGAAGAAGAUCGAUACAUUUGAAGCCAAUUCAAAAUCAAUUUUCUCCAAAAAAAAUGAAAACAAUAUUAGCUGUUUGCACUAUAUGGUAUAUCGAAUAUUAGCUGUAAUGUUUCUCUUCCUUUUUUUUUUUGCAUUAUAUCUUUCGAAUAUCCUACUAUAUAAAAGGAGCUAUUUUAAAGGCUUCUAAAGUGUGCUACAUAUGCAAAAAAUUCCUGGCCAAUCAAUCUAACAGCUCAUCUCAAACUAGGCUGAUAUCCAUGUCAAUUACGAAGCCCAAGCAAUUUAUUUAAAUCCCAGUCAAUACUGAAGUCAGCCCAAUAUCCAUUUACGGUAUAUGAUACCAAGAAACUAAGAAGCUCAUUCUAUUUUAUGAAAUUACAUGCUUUUGUUUAGUCUUUCGCCACAGUGACCGGAGGCGUGUUGAAUCACAAAGCUUCUCACGCAUCCCAUUAUUAUACUAUUUCAAUUGAGGUUCUUAGUGUUGUUCUAACUUAUAUUUAAAAAUAAAUUUUAUUAAAUGUUAUAGAUUUUACUAUUAUCUUAAUAAAAUUUAAUAUAGAUUUGAUAUAUAUUAUAUCAAAUUAUAUAAAACUAAUAAAAAUGAUAUAAAAUUGUAUAAUUAUCAAACAUUUGGCCUAAACAAUAUUUUUAAAAUUUUGUAGAUAUAUAAGAAACUAAAUAUCAUACGAUUAGAUAUUAGAUGUUUAAGAAUUGCAUAUUUUUAAAAGCUUUAGUAAUACAAAUUGUAUAAUUAUAUAAAAAUAAUAAUAUUACUAAAUCUGGAAUGGUAUAUAUGAAUAUAUAUUUAUUUUAUAGAUGAUGCAUAAGAUAUUACCAACAUUAAAUAAAAUUAUCCGUCUCAUGUUUAUUUUUUUAAUUGUAGAGAUGACAUGUAGCAAAAUGCCCAAAAUGACCCUAAUACCCUAGAUAUAUAGAAAAUAUAAAAAAUUUGAAAUAUAAUACAAUAAUUAUUUGUAGAUAACUGGUACGUUUAACUUUGUGGGACAAGGAGACGUCUAAUUUCAGGGAGUAAAAUCACAUAUCUACCAGAAAAAACUAAAUCGUAAUCAUCACAAGUAUCAUUCUACGGUUACAUGAAGGGAAACUAUCACUCACAACCACACCUGGAUCGCGCUUCUACUUUGACAACAAUAUUGAUAUCAUACAACGCUUCCAAAAGAGGAAUAAAUGUCUAUCCUAAGCCUCAUAGCAAACGACACCAGUAAACUUUUUUAAAAUUUACGUUACAGCUUUCUACGUCAAUUAAAUAGGCACACUCAAAUACUAUUUUCUCUUACGAAUAUUAAAUUCAUCAACAUAAUUUAUUAUUCAAACUUA